rnacentral:rRNA from 1 species
UUACUGGCUCAGGAACGAACGCUGGCGGCGUGCCUAAUACAUGCAAGUCGAACGGUCUUUCUAUGGAAGCUUGCUUCCACUGAGAAGAUAGUGGCGAACGGGUGAGUAACACGUGGGUAACCCUGCCCAUAAGAGGGGGGAUAACAUCCGGAAACGGGUGCUAAUACCGCAUAGUUUUCUUGAUCGCAUGAUCGGGAAAGGAAAGACGGCCUUUGUGCUGUCGCUUAUGGAUGGACCCGCGGCGUAUUAGUUAGUUGGUGAGGUAACGGCUCACCAAGACGAUGAUACGUAGCCGACCUGAGAGGGUGAUCGGCCACAUUGGGACUGAGACACGGCCCAAACUCCUACGGGAGGCAGCAGUAGGGAAUCUUCCGCAAUGGACGAAAGUCUGACGGAGCAACGCCGCGUGAGUGAAGAAAGGUUUUCGGAUCGUAAAACUCUGUUGUCAGAGAAGAACAAGUUGGAGAGUAACUGCUCCAGCCUUGACGGUAUCUGACCAGAAAGCCACGGCUAACUACGUGCCAGCCGCUGC